CGUAGGGGGCAAGCGUUGUCCGGAAUUACUGGGCGUAAAGGGCGUGUAGGUGGGUAAUUAAGUCAUGGGUGAAAACUGCGAGCUCAACUUGCAGACUGCCUAUGAAACUGGAUAUCUUGAGGGCAGGAGAGGAAGUGGAAUUCCUAGUGUAGCGGUGAAAUGCGUAGAUAUUAGGAGGAACACCAGUGGCGAAGGCGACUUUCUGGACUGUCCCUGACACUGAGGCGCGAAAGCUAGGGGAGCGAACGGGAUUAGAUACCCCGGUAGUCCUAGCCGUAAACGAUGGGUACUAGGUGUGGGAGGUAUCGACCCCUUCCGUGCCGGAGUUAACACAUUAAGUACCCCGCCUGGGGAGUACGGCCGCAAGGUUG
rnacentral:rRNA from 1 species